ACAAUAAAUCACAAUGCGGGACUAUUCGUCUUGCAAUUGGAUUGAGAACAAUGUACAACUCUUAUCGAUAAGCCAUUGGAGGGCAAGUCUGGUGCCAGCAGCCGCGGUAAUUCCAGCUCCAAUAGCGUAUAUUAACGUUGUUGCAGUUAAAAAGCUCGUAGUUGAAGUGUGGGUGGUGCCAUCUGUGGAGCUUCGGCUUUUAAGAUGAUCACUACCCCCUUCCAGUAUCCAGUAGUGGGUAUUCAGUUACUUACUAUUGUGUGUUGGUCGUUUACUGUGAGAAAAUUAGAGUGUUCAAAGCAGGCGUUUGCUUGAAUAGAUUAGCAUGGAAUAAUAAUUGAAGGCUUUCGUGUUCGAUUUGAUUGGUUUGUUCAUGGAAGCAAGGUUAAAAGGAACAGUUGGGGGUAUUCAUAUUCACUAGUUAGAGGUGAAAUUCUCGGAUUUAUGGAAGAUGAACAA
rnacentral:rRNA from 1 species